ensembl:lncRNA
ACUGAUUCAUCCUGUGGUAUAGAACUAUUCUGCCCCCGCUCCAAGCCAAAGCAAAAGUAUAGGUCUACCUUCUUAGGAGUCAAAAUUUUUCUCUUGUUUUUGCUUAUGACUGCCUGCUGCCAGCCAGAGAAGGUGAGAUUUGCACAUGUUCUGCUGUCUCUUAGGUUUUACAGACUUUUAAGUGACUUUCCAUCAGACUACUACUAGAGCAAAUGCUUAAGCAUAAAAACAAACAUGAAGACAUGUCUCAAGCAUUUCUACUUCUGAAGGAAUUUGAGCAUCUAUUUCUUAAAUAGCAGUCCCUAUAAACAAAUAUGCACUUGGAUUUUGGCCUACUUCAUUAACCCAGUCUCCUCUAGAGAGGAGAGUUUGUGCAGGGAAACAGGAGGGGGUUUGGGAUGGGGGAGGAUAGGGCACAGUGGCAUAGGAUGGGAUUAAUAGCUCCCAGGUGAUAUUUUAUUAUUAUUAUUAUUAUUUUUAUUUUUAGCUUUCACAUUGCAAUCUCAUAUCCAGUAAUUCAAUAGAAGCCUUGAGCCUUUAUUAAGGAUUCAUAACCUAGAGCUUUAUAACUAUUUUCUUUGGAACCGGUACAAUUAUUUUUUCUUGUUACCUCUGUUUUUCAUGAAUUACUAUAACCUUGUCAGUCAAGAAAUGUUGACUCUUCUGAUGUUUUUUAUUUUCCCAGGUCUUAGUUGUGUAUACCAUCAGAUCAGAAUAAUAGCACAACAGUAUGAAGGGAUGUCAACUGAGAAGCAAGAAACAACUAUUGCAUUGUUAGAUGGAAAAAAUAAAUUUAUAAGUAAUUCAUGCUUCUGUCUUUUAUGAUCUCUGUCUAAAGACCAUGAAACUGUUCUUGGUAAGAAAUACUUCUCUUGUUUCUCAUGAAGAUGGUAAAUGAACCCUAUAUUUUCUAUUUUAGUUAUAACUAUUCCUAUUUUAACUUGUAUUCAGUUAGUGGCUACUGCAGGUAAAGCAGUUCAUAGGGGAAGGGAGGUGGACAGUGAUUGCAUCUGAAUGACUAGCAGCUUGUGCCUUCCCUUGAAAGCACUGCCAAUGCAAUGAAAUAAUCAAUUGACUUUCAUAUCGAAGAGGAGUUUCUUGCCUAGUGUCACUAGUUUCUUGCCUAGUGUCACUAGAAAGGAAGAAUCACACUACUGCUUUGCUUUCUACUAGGUGCUCUACAGUUUUGGCCUAAACCAAGAAGCUUGCAGAGGUGAGGCAGAAGGUGAGGAGAAUUUGGUUCAGAAUUUGUGAAAGACAUAUUUUUCUGAAGAAUUUUCCAGAACAGUAUCAAUUGUUUGCUUAAUUGCUAUUUAUCACUUGCAGAAAUACUGAUUUUUGUUAAAUGUAAAUGGUGAUAGUUGACUGCCAAAAUAUGGUUCAAACAACAAAUCUGCCUACUCAAUAUCUAAAGGAGAACAGCAUCAGUAUUGUCAAUGUUAGCAUAUGAGAGAUGCUUAGCUGUCAUACCUUUUGCAAUGGUGAUUUUUUGCAAUAGCUGUAGGCAAAUGCUUUAAAAAGGGAAGUUGUAAAAAUUACCACUGAGUGAUCAAAAGUAGUACUACUCAUAAAAGACUUACAGCAGCCAGGGUCUGUUUCUGGCAGCUGGAGUGUCAGGUACUGACUAAUAUUUGCUCCAUUUAUUAUCUGUCAGGUGUCAGUAGGUGUCUUAGAAAUGGUUUCUGUGUCCUGACACAGCAAGCAGUGAUUGCAGAGUGUUGGGUGUCAUUUUUGCUUUCCAUUACACACAGGAGGAUUUCAGACUGGAGGAUUUAAGCUGUUCUAUGGAAAUACAGAUAAGGAGCCACAGUAGCACUGGGCAUAAGGCUAAAAUCAUCUUGGUUUAGUUCUUAAACCACGUUGUAAUAUUUUAAGAGGGCAUUGCAAUAUCUCAGCAUAUCUGUGGCCUGUUCCAGUAGGCUUGAUGCUUUUUGUUAGUGCUUGUAUCAAUGAUUUUUUUCUUCCGAUUUUCUUAAGUAAUUUUCCAAGGUUUUGAAUAACUUUAAUCUAAAGUGGUUAAUAUUCUUACUGCCAUCUCAUAACCUCCUGGUAUAUAUGCAUUUAAAUUCGGAAAAAAGUGCUAUGCAAUAGGAAUUCAACAAUUUUGAGUAAAACAACCAUGUCUUUCUUAUACCUUGCAUGGUUGACACUUGAGAAGGAAGAUGAUUGAAUAAGGGACAUACUAAUAUUAAUAAGAAGUAUAAAAAUAGUUUGUGUUGGAAUAUUCUCUUUUGCUAAGACCUGAAAAUCUGGGCACUAUUAAUUUGCACUCCAAUAUGCAUGUUUGGUAUAUCAGAUAGAACUAUUGAAAGUGAUAUAUGAUAAUGAAAGUGAUAUAUGAUAGCUAUUAGGCUUGAUGUCUGUUAUAAGGUUCAAAACUAAUAAAAAACCAAGCAAAUAUCAACAGCUGAAUAGUCUCAAAAAUUAUUGUUGAUCAGGCUUUUCGCAUUUCUCUUCUGAAGAAGCUCCUUGUCUACUCCAGGGUUUCAUUUUUGUUGUAGCUGUAAGAACUCAGAACAGCUAUCUAAAUCUAUUUGCCUUAAGUCUUUCUGGCAAGGAAGCUGUACUCUAGGACUACCAUUAAUUACCACUCUUCUAACCUGUGUUGAUUUUUUUAAAGAUUUGAAUAUAUAGGAUCUUUCAGGAUAGGUGGCAAGAUGUUACAUCCCAAAGGAAAUGUCAUAUGUUGGAUGAUUUAUGUGGGAUCAGAGCUUAUAUCCUGAUUAGAUUGCAAGAUCUUCUUGAGCAAGAGCAGAUAGGACACAGUGUCCUGGAAUAAAGCAGGUAUCCAAAGUGGGUUUUUUGUAUUUGAAUACUGUGUAGUAACUUCAUAUUUCUCCUCUGCUUCAGAAUCCUACCAUGUGAGCCCAACUGUGUGUGACGAUAUGUUUCCACUUUGUUUCUGACACUUGAAAACAGUUGUGGAAAAACCUGAAAAUCUAGGCGGGAGAUGGACAUGUAAAUACUCUCUGGUAGGAACAACUACCUUGGGAAUGUGAAGCACUGUACAGAGUUAUGUGAAAAUAAAUUUGGAAUAAAAAGCAGAACAAGUAACAAUACAGCCAAAUGGAUAAAGUCCAGAUGUUCAUUUGCAACACAACUCACUGAGUAAGUUAUAAUUAGAAUAUGAAGGCCAAAUACAUGAUAAAUAAAUCUUAUAACAGUCCUUGUCACUAAAUAAAAAAUAUUUCCUUUCUAAACAUCCACUUAUGUUCUUCAUCUUGCUUGUUUCAUCUACUUUCUUGGUUGUGCAAGCUAUGAAGUUGCAAGAUGUUACGUUACCAUGGAGUCUACCAUAGAGCACCUGAAGCUGUAGCUUUUAAAAGAUAAAUAGAUAAUAAUUCUUCUGUGAACUUUGGUGGCUCAUUGAAUUCUGAGGUCAAUAAAUAAUAAAGGAGGGGAGAGAGAGGGGAAGGGGGAGAUAGGGGAAGCUCCAGACCUUCUACUUCUAGCCCUCAGCCAUAUCUUCAGAUAUGGAAAAUAUAAACUAUUCUGGACCUUUACUUUGGUGCUUAACUACUUUUAUUAUUUAAAUAUUCUUUAUACUCAAUGUAAUUGCUCUUGUUGUUACUCACUGUCACCUUGACCUUUGGCUCCACUAGUCUGAGCAGUGUUCAAUUUCCUCUAUAUCUCUUCUCAUAGAGCGCAUCCAGUUUCUCCGUAGCCAUCUCUUUUCUAGCCUCAGCAAGCUCCAUUGCCUCAGCCACCCCUCACCAUUGCCAGGUGGAGGCAAUGACCCAUUCCCUCAGCUCACGGCCAGUUCUCUCAUUGCAGCCCAGUGAGCACAGCUGAAACCUGUUCACUCACUCUGUGUGGUGUCUGGGGUUAUUUUUUGACUGCUUGUUUACAUGUCCCCUCUUAAAGAAAGUCCACUCUGUGUAUUAAAAAAAAAAAAAAAAAAAAAAAAAGGACAAAAAAAGCUACAUCAUUAAAACCCCCAACCACACCUAAAAGAAGCCCCAACAAAACACACCAUCAUCUGCAACAAAUUUUCAGUCUUUUCAUUUUCUGCAUGUUGGGUGAAUUUUUAGAUUUUUUUCUUACUGCUAUUUGUAAUACUCUUAGAGUAUGCUAGAAAAUUAUUUCUUCACUUUCUAGAAUUAGUUUUAAUGCAUUAAUUAUACAGAAUAUAAAAUCUUAAAAUCAUUUAAUCUUCCACAACUUAAUUCAGUUAGUUCCCUCAGCCCCUAAAAUAACUGUGAAACAGAUGUGUUUAAGAUUAUGUAUAUUAAAAAUGCGGUUAACCCAAAACUUAUCACAAUAAAAGCUGGAGGGAUUGCAACUUAAAGCAAGUAAACUAGGUAAUUACAGUUUGCAGAUAU